rnacentral:piRNA from 1 species
UGGGAAUAUGGGACAGAUAGCUCCAGAGA